CGCCUCUUGGAAAGUAGCUGGGAACAAAAGGUCUGCUGAUAAUGCCACUUCAGCUGAGGUCACUGAGAAGCUUUGAAGACCAAACAAGAAAAAUCUAGAUUCAAGGAGGAACAUACUUCAAAUGAAGAUAAUUCAAUUUUCUUUGAGACACCAGCUAAAUUGGCUCGACGA